CUGGUCCAUGGUGACAGUGUUCCAGCUUUUAACUCUGGACUCAUGGAAUCUGCUGCUGUACAACGCCAUGACUUCCACCUCCCUGUGGGCUGCAAUAUACUUUAUUGCCAUAAUUAUCCUAGGAAAAACUGUUCUCUUGAAUGUGCUUCUAGCGAUCGUGGUUGAGAACUUCCAAAAAGAGCACUCCAGCCCAUCCAGUGAAAAUGAAUCUCUCUUUGCAAGUUCUAUUUCAUCACGGUCCAC